rnacentral:rRNA from 1 species
CGAACGGGUGAGUAACGCGUGAGGAACCUGCCUCAAAGAGGGGGACAACAGUUGGAACGACUGCUAAUACCGCAUAAGCCCACGGCUCGGCAUCGAGCAGAGGGAAAAGGAGCAAUCCGCUUUGAGAUGGCCUCGCGUCCGAUUAGCUGGUUGGUGAGGUAACGGCCCACCAAGGCGACGAUCGGUAGCCGGACUGAGAGGUUGAACGGCCACAUUGGGACUGAGACACGGCCCAG